rnacentral:rRNA from 1 species
AUUUAAUUUAUUUGCUUUUCUUUAUUUGACUAAUAAAAAAUUUAUUGUAUUGUUUAGUAUUUUAACCCUAAAUACAUCUUAUUGACCCCCCCCCCCUGGUCUCUCUUUAUUUUUUUUAGGAGUUCCAUUUAGCCUAUUCUCUAAUAAUUGUACCAGUUCAAGCGGUGUAAACCUUAAAAUUUAUAAUUCUUAUUUUCAUACUAAGCUUCCACUUUUCAAACCUUUUAUUGUUUUUGUCCAUAUUUUCUAAUGUGCCUUAGUUACUUAUAUUAUUAAUUUACAUAGUUUUGAAAAAUAUACAUGGGUGUAUUAAUUUUUAUUAAAAAAAAUUAAAUAAAUAUUUGUGCAAAAGAAAUCAACUAUUAUUUUUUUAAAUCAUUGAAUAUUGUAUAGGUUGGCAUAUUAAUUAUAGUAGAGUUUCUAUUGACUACUAUCCAGAAGCCACCUUGGGGUCACGGAGUCCCAAGGGGUGUUUAGGUUCGCCCCACAAACAUUUUUGAUCACUCUCAGUGUUAUGAUAGUCCUAUGCAAUUUUUAUAAAAUAAGUAGUAUUAUGGUUUGUGGUGUUGAAAUCCUACA